rnacentral:rRNA from 1 species
UACGGGGGGGGCAAGCGUUGUUCGGAAUUACUGGGCGUAAAGGGCUCGUAGGCGGCCAACUAAGUCAGACGUGAAAUCCCUCGGCUUAACCGGGGAACUGCAUCUGAUACUGGAUGGCUUGAGUUCGGGAGAGGGAUGCGGAAUUCCUGGUGUAGCGGUGAAAUGCGCAGAUAUCAGGAGGAACACCGGUGGCGAAGGCGGAUCUCUGGGCCUUGCCUGACGCUGAGGCGCGAAAGCUAGGGGAGCGAACAGG